UAUGGAGAUGGGAACCUUCACAAACAUCCCUGGGUGGCUCCUGCACAAGCUCAGGUGAUGCAGUGAUGUGGCCUUCCUUCUCCAGACAAGGGAUGCCAAGAACUGGGGAGCACUUGGACACAAUCAUGAAUUCUCUGGGACCGUACACUCUGUUGACACUUAACUUAUGGAUUUAUAUUGAACGUUGCCAAGUCCAAAAGCCACAGAAUACAUAUCAUUAUGGUACAGGUUUGAUUGUGUGCACCAGUGAAUCCUAGCAACAAACACAUGAACUUGGAAGGGGAUCCUUUUCCAAUUGAACCUUCACUUGAGAGCCCAGCCCUGGCCAUCAUCUAAUCUGGAUUCCCAGCCCAGA